rnacentral:rRNA from 1 species
UACGGAGGGUGCAACCGUUGCUCGGAAUUACUGGGCGUAAAGCGCAUGUAGGCGGUCUCGUGUGUCUGGCGUGAAAGCCCCGGGCUCACCCCGGGAAGUGCGUUGGAAACUGCGAGACUAGAGUUCCGGAGAGGAAGGUGGAAUUCCAGGUGUAGCGGUGAAAUGCGUAGAUAUCUGGAAGAACACCGGUGGCGAAGGCGGCCUUCUGGACGGUGACUGACUCUGAGACGCGAAAGCGUGGGGAGCAAACAGG